UCCGGUUUGUCACCGGCAGUCUCCCAUGAGUCCCCAACUUAAUGAUGGCAACAUGGAACGGGGGUUGCGCUCGUUGCGGGACUUAACCCAACAUCUCACGACACGAGCUGACGACAACCAUGCACCACCUGUCACUCUGUCCCCCGAAGGGGAAGAUCCUAUCUCUAGGAUUGUCAGAGGAUGUCAAGACCUGGUAAGGUUCUUCGCGUUGCUUCGAAUUAAACCACAUGCUCCACCGCUUGUGCGGGUCCCCGUCAAUUCCUUUGAGUUUUAGCCUUGCGGCCGUACUCCCCAGGCGGGGUGCUUAAUGCGUUAGCUUCGGCACGGAGGGAGUUGACACCCCCCACACCUAGCACCCAUCGUUUACGGCGUGGACUGC
rnacentral:misc_RNA from 1 species